rnacentral:rRNA from 1 species
GAUGAACGCUAGCGGCAGGCCUAACACAUGCAAGUCGAGGGGCAGCACAGAAACAGCAAUGUUUUGGUGGCGACCGGCGGACGGGUGCGUAACGCGUAUGCAACCUACCUUUAACAGGGGGAUAACGGAGAGAAAUUUCCACUAAUACCCCAUAACAUCGAUCAAGGCAUCUUGAUUGGUUGAAAACUCCGGUGGUUAAAGAUGGGCAUGCGUUGUAUUAGGUAGUUGGGGAGGUAAUGGCUCACCAAGCCUACGAUACAUAGGGGGACUGGGAGGUUAGCCCCCCCCACUGGUACUGAGCCACGGACCAGACUCCUACGGGAGGCAGCAGUGAGGAAUAUUGGUCAAUGGGGGCAACCUUGAACCAGCCAUGCCGCGUGCAGGAAGACGGCUCUAUGAGUUGUAAACUGCUUUUAAACAGGGAUAAAGCACAGUAUGUAUACUGUGUUGAAGGUACUGUAAGAAUAAGGAUCGGCUAACUCCGUGCCAGCAGCCGCCGUAA